CUCAGGACCUCCUCAUGGUAUGCCAGGCCUGGGUCCAUCUUGAAGCAGGAGAAACCAAUCUUCAAAAUGGCUGUCAUGGCGUCUUGUUUGCUGGCUAUAGAGAGCGUGGGAGAGAGUUGCCUGUCCAACUCAUUCGAUGACCUACAAGAAUCAGAUCUUGGUACUGGAAGAAUUGGGAACACUGGGAGGGUGCCAGGUCCCGUAUCCCCAGUCUCAUCUCAUCCGUUGCCUCCCCUGAAGCACGCCUUUGGGGGGGGGUUCUGUCACGCCCAGCUCAUCCGAUCCUCGUGUGUGCCACGCCCCCUCAUCAUCCACACUGUGCUUCUCCAAUCGUGCCCAGCUGUUGCCUGUUAUUUCGGCUUGUCUUUGGUAUAUCAGUCCACAUCUUGCCCUGUCUGAGGUCGGUCAUUGUUGUUGGAAUGUGCGUCUUUCCACCCCGACUAGUCCCAAUAAACCCUUGUUUGACCUUA